CGCUUGCUCGGACUUUUACGGUAGGCUCGGAUGUUCUGCAAGCUGCAAGCCAUUUUUGAAUGUAAUAGCGUCUGUGUAUUAAUGACAGUCCCAACGCAGAGGCCGGAGGGGAAGGGCCGAAAACCACGAGGUGCCGGAGCGCCAAGUGGCGUGCAAGAAGAAACAGGCGGAUUUGAAACGUUGGUGACUGGUGAUGAAACAAGAGCACAGUCUGUUUCGGAACCGAAACUCGAAACAAUAGCCUGCUUGGUCGACUAGUUGCCAACAUAAGAUGAUGGGCCGUUUAAAUGGCACAUUGUAACUGGCCACGCGGUUGGGCACAUUCACGCACGAUUUGCAGUAGUAGUACGCUGAUGGCAGUGCGGCGCAUAUCCAAUUCAUACAGGCUGGUUUUGCUUCCAAGCUGUGUCCAUUUCAACCUCAUUCUGAAUAAAUGUGCUAGAAGCACUCGCACAUGGCGAAGCGCGCUACGGUCUAGCGCCUGAGUGAGGCGGGCUUUUACGGUUAGCGUUGCAGUCAUUACAGGGACAGGCAUAUUUCACUUAAAAUUAUUGAAAAAAAGAUUUCACACUUACCGCUGCACUGUUCUUGCUCAAAUUUCCCAGAAAGAUUGCAUUUUGGAGUUUACGUCAUUCAUUGUAGCACUUGGCACAGUUAAUUGCGUGGUCUUAAGAAAAAAAUGCAAAGUAGCCUUCGUUUGUGGGAAUGCAAGCCGUUGUCGGGACGGAGCUAGCAUAAAGUUGCGUCGCUGCCUGCUGGCAGCUGCGGAAAGCAGCCAUUCAAGUAGAGUUUCUGCCUGUUCCAGAGUAGCGGGAAGCGUGUGGAAACACUCCUUAAACAGCUACUUUCUGCUGCCGCCGGCAGGUGGAGAAACAAGUUUGUGCUUGCUCCAUCUUGGCAGCAGCUUGCAUCCCCAUAAACGAAAGAAAGUUUGCCUGGUCUUUUAAGAAAAAAAUGCAAACGGGACCAAGUGUUACAUUGAAUGACGUAGACUCCAAAAGGCUAUCUUUCUGUGAAAUUUGAGCAAGCACAGUGCAGCGGUAAGCGCAAAAGCUUUUUUAGAAAAUUUUAGGGGAAAUAUGCAUGUCCCGGCAUAUCAAGGAAUAUUUCUCAGCACGAACGUCUUCUGACAUUCAUGUGCAAAAAUGUAAUUAAACUUGUGCAUUCAACACGGCCUUGGUGACGCAAAUGGGUAAAUUCCCUCUUACCACGAUCUCAAGAAACUGUCUAAAACGUGUGGAGAUUUCAGAUUAGCUUCGGUCAGGCAUAUUUUGGGUUUUGAAUUAUUGAUAUAUGAAACUUACUUCACAAUCCCCUUCGUGUUUGAUACAUCCAGGAUUGCCUGUGUAUACGUAGUGCAUCAUGUGUGGUAAGCAGAACUUGUAAAACAAUACAUGACUCUAUGUACCAUUAACUUCAUAUGUUGCACCCAUAAUAUAUGAUUUACCCGUUGGGCAUACCAUGCUGUAGGUGUAACCAAACUUGUUCACUACGAAAUGCAUGCAGUGAUAAGUUUCUGCAACAGCACUUGCUGCAAGGCUUGCACAGCGCUUUGUACAUUCACAACCUAAGCAUUGUGUUUCACAGAUUGGAAGCAGUGGGAUAUAUGAAAACAUUGCUUUAAUAAACAUAAUAAGAACUCCAUAUGUUAUGAGCUCUAAUACAGUCAAACCUCGACAUAAUGAACCUCAAUUUAAUGAAAUUCGGGAUGUAACACACUGUUUUCAUUUACCGAUCUUAGUUCCUUUGAAAACCGUGUAUAUUUUUGAAUAAUUUUUUUGCAAUUUAACUUGUUCUUUCGUGACAUGGUUUCAAUUAACAAAAUUGUUGGCCAUUUAAAGCAUGUACUUGGAGCCUGCAUGGCUCGUAAAUCUAGCAAAAAACAAAAUAUGUCGGCCUAGGCAUAAAGGUAUUUGCAAGCGUCCUUCCGCAUGAAAAGUUUGAGCUGCAAGAACACUAUCGAGGAUCCAGGAGGCGGUAUGCAGGAAACACCACUGCACCAUUUGUUGCGUUGAUGAAGAACUUGCAGAGGCUGCGGGGCGCACGGCAGCUCCGAGAAACGCAAGAGCUGACGAUUCCUUCAGUGCAGGAGCGGUGAGCACGCUUGCAGUAACGUGAUCAAGCACUCGCUAGGGAGGGUACGCGAGCCUAUCUGACUUUUCCCACUGAUGCGCAUAUCUCCUCUACCCUGCCGUGCUUGGCAAUCCAUAUGUGGGCCAUGCGCUGUAUCUUGGAGGUAAUCUGCAGCAAGUGCACAGGGCAAUUGGAAGUGGCUGGUGCCUCGAUGUGCACUAUGCUCUUGCGUAUCUAGUGUUGGCGGAUGUGUACUAAUCUCAAGUUUCUGAGAUAAGACACGGUGUGAAGGGUUCGCUUGCAUUGCGACAGCGAGUGUUCGUGGUCAUCAAGUGAGAUCUCGUCAUGUUUACCUGAGCGCACGUGACACGGAUAAAACUAUGAAGCAUACUUAGCGUAGUUGUCUCUUUGCUGUCGCUGCAUGAAUGCUCCGCCUUUCUGGCGAAAAAACAACAUUUCUUUUUCUGAGGCCGAAUGUUUGUAUAUUUUUAUCCUUUUGUUUUUAAUUUCGGGGUGCCAUCUGAUGACGGCUGUGGUAACUAAGUGCGGUCAGCCAUGGCGUCCAAGAUCUAUGGCGCCGCGCGAUGCAACACACGCAAAUCUCGGACACCGUGCACCACGCCGAUGCAUUACGUACAGCGCAAUCUGCCCCGCAUGCGCUGGCGCUCAUAACCAUGCUAUUUUGGCACGACCGUGCGAUUUGAUUACUGACAAGAUACUAUCCACUAGGAAUGUUCUAGGAAAUUGGGAUAUUAUUUUUAUGGCUGCAACUUUAAAACCUUGCAUUAACAAAAUUUGCAAUUUAACAAAGUUUUUUGCUGCUAGCACAACUUCGUUAUAUUGAGGUUUGACUAUACAAGACAAUUGGUGCAAAUCAGUUUACCAUGAAAUGGGCAGAUCGAUGCAUUUAAGUAUGUACUGGUUGCUAAGCUCCUGCAGCAGUGCCAGCUAAGUAUCAGAAUACAGAACUAUGUUUUCUUGCAUUCGCCCCCCCCCCCUGCCUGAUUUUUUUCUUUUUUUAAAAAUAAAUAAUCUGAAAAUUGGGUUCUAGCUCUGCACUACACUUGACCUUCAGAAUGAGGUGGCUUGUGUGUUAUUCCACGCAAAGAUACUUUGUACAGACCUUACAACAGACAGGGUCCUUAAAAUCAUUUAGAAGCAUGAUGGCUAGAUGGCAUUCCACAUUUUGGUGGGGCCUUGGAUUUAAUUAUUUGAUUGGUAGCAGAGAACUUUGCGGAGUAGCCUAAUUCCGUAUUAAAUUACUGCUUAUCGCCAUCGUUUUCUUUUGCUCGGGAACUCUGUCUGCUGACAAUGUGCACUGCUCCCAUUGAGAGGGACAGUACCUUUUUUGUUUUGUGAGCAAGAGAUUCUCAUUGGGCACAUUUGCUUGGAGAAAAUAUAGAGAGGCAAGGCAUAGUGGUAACAAAGCUUUAUUGAUCGAUCUUAAGGUGCAAUCAAAGAGAGGCAACCUUGCAGGUCAAUCUCUCAGCAUCACUGAGCAUACAGGCAUAACUAAGCAUGUUGCCGUCACUCUUCAGGCCACUUAAGUUUGAGCGUUUGGGACUUUUGUAAAAGUAAAGUUUGCCUGUAGGUGAUUGAUGGCUGGUUCAGCCUAGUUUGGAAAAUAAAAAAUUUGUUUUGAGAAUCGGAGCCAGACAAGUACAUUUGUCAGCUGGCACAUGUGCUGCUGAGCACAUGUGCCAGAAUGUGUCUCCACUUGUUGCCAAGUUGCAUGACUGUCAAAAACAAGCUGUACUGGAAAAAUUAAGGUGAAGUUUCUGCAUACUUGCCAUACCAAGAAGGUACUUGGAAAUAACUUUUUAACUUUUAGAAUAUGGCUGGACAAAAUGCCGGACAUAAGAUGCAGUAAUGAUCACUUCUUGUUAGUAAACUUGCAAAGAGCACAAUAAUUGUGUCUGACCUGCUUGUGUGGUGACGAUUCAGGUGUUCUACUGACUUAAGUAUGUGUUGAGGCUGUGGCUGCACUUUGCUUAUCUGCAAGAAAUGUUUUGUUGAUUUCUAAUAGCAUCAGUGCGUAUUACCUAGUAAGCUGAGCCCCUGUGAAUUGUUUCUGCAGUAUCGUAACUGCAGUAAUGAGAGUCAGUUUGCACAGCUUGUUCACCACUUUAAAGGGCCCCCCCAGAACACAUUAUAACAUGGUAAAUAAUCUUCCAUAUUUGCAAGGCAAUGCUGCCCUUCACAUCUAAGCAAAAUGUUAUCAUUAAACGUCCAACUAAAACAGCGACUUUGCUUGAAAAGGUGCCUGCUGUUUUCUUUCAUCAUUUUUAAAACCCUCUCUUCUUGUUUUUCCUUUACGCUUACGUAAUGGUAAACAUGGUGCCUACUGCACAGAUUUUGUUAGCUAAACAUUACGACUAAGCAGUGACAUCGGCAAUAGUUGAGAAAUGUUAUCGUUGAUGGGGUGGUGGUUCCAUCUUGUGGCAGAUAUUGACACCACUCUGCCAAUAUAAUGGUCUCCUAGAUGGGGAGCUCAAGGAAGGGUCCUAGCCAUACGAUCUGUAAGUCAUGUCAGUACAAAAGCUUUGGUGCAAUUGUUUCACAUCAGCAACAUUUGAUUGCCAGUAGCUCUGUUACUACAAGGCAUAGUGAAAGCAACCUUUUCUUGGAAAAUGUUAGUGAGGGGAUGUCCUUGAGUAUCAGACGCAUUCCAUGCCUUUUCAGAAAAUUGCCACAGGGCCCCUUUAAAGCCAACUGCAGUUGCAUGCAUAGUAUCUACAGCCCUCACAACUGUUAAUGAAUAGCACUCAGUUGAUUGUGUGGCCUUUUGUUUAGAGCAACAUCUCAUGGUAACUCUACCAUGAUUGACAAAUAACUCACUUUAAACUGCAUUAGCUGGCUCUGGCAGAUCAUUUGUAAGCAGCGUUAUGUUUCUAAUGGUGACUGUAUUGCCAAUAAAGUCCAAGUGGCAUGCUGAAGUGUUGUGUUACAAACAGCUGUGCGACCUGUAUGUCCUCAUAUACCAUAUAAUUUGAUUUCCCGAACUGGAACGGUGAAUUUGGUGUGCAGAAUUGCAAGCCUAGCACAACUACACUUUCUGCUACGAAAGGACGAGCUGAGUACAGAACGUUUGUGUCUUUCUACUCGAAAGUAUACGCUUGAUAGAGCUGCCAUGGUCUUGAGGCAAACACAAGUGAAAGACACAAGCAUUUUUCCAUGUCAUUUAUACUUUUUGUGUGCAGUGGUGGGUGUGCGUUGUUAUUUGUUUUUAUUUCUUUCCGUACAUGUUUUAUGAGAUGUUGGCAUUGCAGAUAUGCUGUGGGUUGUCUCAAAAGAGAAAGCUGUAUUUCGAGUCCCGAUUAACCUAACCUACUAACCUAUAGAAUCAUGCCGAGCACAAGUGCCUUUCAGCACCUCAGCAUAGCAGUAGUUGCAUAAUGAGUCGGCGGUUGUUCCUGCCUGUGGUAUACUUGCAGCGUCAUGAAUAUACUAGUAUUGGUUUCCCAUCAGUGUGCUUGUCACCACCUGCACAAUAAUUGUUUCCUGGAUUCCUUCACGGUGGCUGCAUUUCUGGUGAGGCAUAGUUGCAACAUGUAGUGGUGUGCUAAACUGAGUGAAAUUACAUUCUCUUGCGACCCCAGGCAGUUACCAUUGCCUGCAGUGGAUUUGCCUUCUCGGUGCAUUUUGAAACACAUUGUUGCAGUACGCAGAGCCCUUGCAAUUAGUGCCAUAGUUUUUUACCAUGUAAUCCUUUUUUCCAUUUAGUGUGCAAAAAUGAGCAUGUAGUGAAGCGUGUCAUCUGUCCUCUAUACAUGCAACCAUUCCUCGUGUGCAUGAUGGCUUUGAGGCAGCUGUAUACAAGUCACUAUUUCUGAUCUUGAGCUGGCAUAAUACACAGGGCUUAACCCGAAUUCAGCAUCAGAUUGAGUGAGAUGUUCACUUAACACACAGCCUCGAGGGUGCUUUUCGUAAAUGCAGUGGCUUUAAUAUUCGGACCAGCAGUGCUUUGAAAAUUCUUUCAUGCAUACCGCUGGAACUCUUAGGCACAGCCCUGUUGCAUCUUUCAUUUUUUACUUUUUGUGCUAUGGCACAUUCGCCUCUACUGUUUGCCUGCCUUUUAUUGGGUUCAAAUAUGGAACGGAACAGUUAAGCCAGCAGACAGGUGUUUUUGCUUGUCUAUGGAGUCACCCUGCCACUGUUGUCUACCCUGUCCCCUUUGCCAUUUCUACGUGCACCGGUCUACUUGAGUGACUGAAUUUCCUUAAAGUUUUUUUUUUUUUUUUCGCAGGCCAUAGUUUUUGUGCACAAGGGCAGGUUAAAGGAGGCACUGGUGCCAAAUGUGUUAUGUAAAACAGAAUGAAAAAUCAGACCUCUGUGCAAUGUAUGCACACCAUUUAUCUAGCAGUGAAUACCUUUAAUUUUUUUAAAUUUUACCUGAAUGCAGAACAGUGGUAAUAAUGUUGCGUUUCACUCUACUAGAUAAUUUUAAUAAAUUUAGGUUUUCGUUUUAUGUGUCUGCCACUGAGUGUAAUUAAUGGUGAAGAUAGGCCUGUCAUACAUUUCGGAAAAGAUGCUAAAUUUUUGUGACUGUCCAUGUUCAGAAAGCAGAGAGAGCCAGAUUCUCCAUGCUCCCGUCUGUCGCACUUAAAAAAAAAGUCAUUUCACUGUCUCAUCGGUUGUGCACGUAGCUGCAAGCUCAUGAAGAGCAGGGUGAGCUGUGUUUUUCACUAUUGGCUUUGCUCUGAAAAUUAAUGUCCUAAUUAAGCUAUCGUUCUAUGAAAAACACUCACGUGAACUUUAGCACUAUCAGUGCCAGCGACGAAGUGGCUGAAUGUGCCGUCACAGUGAGUCAGGUUGCAUUACAAGGUUUGUGGCCCAAAGCAACGAGUUGCAUAUGAGAGACCCUGGUGAGGGGCUGCAGAUUAAUUUCAGCCACCUAGUUUUUUGUGACGUGCGUGCACACACGUUAUUGCACACUGCCUCCAUCAGAAUGCGGCCACCGCAGUUGGGAAUAAAACCCGUGACCUUGUGUUGUUUGUGUUGAGCUCAGCUGUAUAUUUUAAGGAAUUGCAGACACUGUUUGAGAUGUGACAUCAUGCAACCUUUAACACUGCGCAUGUGCCGUUAACAUGCACCAUAGGCCGCAUUUCUGUGAUGAUGCAACACUUAGGGACAUAAGUGGGAUAGGAAAAGCUUGAAUUUGCCGAGUACAGACUUGUCCAUGCUGUUCACAGGAACACGGCUAUUUGCCUUCACCAAAGUAUUUUGUACCACGUACAUGUGUACUAGGUUAUAGAAUAUGCAUUGACAUUAACAGUGUCUUCAUUGUUAGAACAAUUAAUGUUUGUCUGUUAAACUGAGUGUUAUGAUUGUUUUGUCUUUUGGCGUGAACACAGAUGUUUGAUAAGUCACUCAGCCUAUCCAUUGGCUGCAAUUCUAUGAAUUCUGAAGUUUUAUUCUAUGUACGUUAUGUGAAGUUAACUUAAAGGAUUGCUUUUGUUUUAGUGUAAUGGUUGUUAUAAUUAGAACUAAUUGAAACCGCUUGACACAUCCCCUUCUACGCUCAAUGCAGAAAAAAUUGCGCAAUGAGCUGUAUAUUUUUGUGCCGACUGACCCAAUGGAUGGAAGCAAACACUGCCACGUUCACGCCUGGGGACAUCUGGGUAGUGUGCCUAAUGUUUUACUUUUGCCAAGGUGCCAUGAUUUGUAGUUGCCAUUGUGCAUGUAGCUUCGUGUAUUUAUUGCACAGCUGCUGUGGGUGAGUGUGAUGGUACCGUGUACAUACUGUGUAUAUACAUACCCGUACAAGUCUUGCAUUACCCUCAUCCUGGAGCCUGCAUUUUUUUCAGAGGCUGAAUAAAGACUUAUUUUCCUAGAA